UGCAAGUCGAGCGGUAGCACAGAGAGCUUGCUCUCGGGUGACGAGCGGCGGACGGGUGAGUAAUGUCUGGGAAACUGCCUGAUGGAGGGGGAUAACUACUGGAAACGGUAGCUAAUACCGCAUAACGUCGCAAGACCAAAGUGGGGGACCUUCGGGCCUCAUGCCAUCAGAUGUGCCCAGAUGGGAUUAGCUAGUAGGUGGGGUAAUGGCUCACCUAGGCGACGAUCCCUAGCUGGUCUGAGAGGAUGACCAGCCACACUGGAACUGAGACACGGUCCAGACUCCUACGGGAGGCAGCAGUGGGGAAUAUUGCACAAUGGGCGCAAGCCUGAUGCAGCCAUGCCGCGUGUAUGAAGAAGGCCUUCGGGUUGUAAAGUACUUUCAGCGAGGAGGAAGGCAUUAAGGUUAAUAACCUUGGUGAUUGACGUUACUCGCAGAAGAAGCACCGGCUAACUCCGUGCCAGCAGCCGCGGUAAUACGGAGGGUGCAAGCGUUAAUCGGAANNACUGGGCUUAAAGCGCACGCAGGCGGUCUGUCAAGUCGGAUGUGNNAUCCCCGGGCUCAACCUGGGAACUGCAUUCGAAACUGGCAGGCUAGAGUCAAGUANNGGGGGGUAGAAUUCCAGGUGUAGCGGUGAAAUGCGUACACCUCUGGAGGAAUACCGGUGGCGAAGGCGGCCCCCUGGACAAAGACUGACGCUCAGGCCCGAAAGCCCCGGGAGCAAACAGGAUUAGAUACCCUGGUAGUCCACGCCGUAAACGAUGUCUUCUUGGAGGUUGUGCCCUUGAGGCGUGGCUUCCGGAGCUCCCGCGUUAAGUCGACCGCCUGGGGAGUACGGCCGCAAGGUUAAAACUCAAUCGAAUUGACGGGGGCCCGCACNNUCGGUGGAGCAUGUGGUUUAAUUCGAUGCAACGCGAAGAACCUU
rnacentral:rRNA from 1 species